GUUGAAUUGAGAGCAGUAUCUCCAAACCAAGAGUUAUAAACCAAUCAAAGGAUGGGUUUUUGAAUCAAGAAUAGCCUUUUUGAGGAUGAGGAUUGUGGCAAAACACUGAGAAAGGAAGCAGACAACUCGGCAUUACCUGGAUCUUGUGAAUGCCCUCCUCCAUUUCUCUCUUCUCAACGGCAAAAGCUGAGGAACUUUUUGGAUAAGCGGUGCAAGUUACGCAGAUGAUUAAGAAAAUGUAACUUGAUGAAAGCCAAACUCUUGAUUCCGUAACUCAAGCUAAACAUAAUGGCCAGCAGAGUAGCUUAAUACAGUGACCUCAACUUCUCUUUCUUGCUAGCCACAUAUUGCUAUGGCAAAUUUUUUUUGAAAGAAUAUGCUUAGCUAACAGUAUAAAUCUCAAUAAACAUCCUACUUCAUGGA